GCUACUCUUUUCUUUUAUAUAGAUAAAGGAAGAAUAUGUUUGUGGGUCUAGGUCGUAAAAUUUGAGAUUAUAUGGUGAAAUAUAAUAAUGAAAAUACAUUGCCAUUUGCAACAUUUUAAGGUGUUCCCACUGUAACCAAUGUGUGGAAACUGAAAAUGAGAUGUCUCCUAGGAAUGCCAACUUUUAUUAGUGUUUGACAUGGACAAAGCUAUAUUUUUUUUUCCUUCUGCCUACAGAUAGUGUACCGUUUGUUUUAUUUUCUCCUUUCCC
rnacentral:lncRNA from 1 species